GCCUUUGUGGUGUAAUGGUCAGCACGCUAGGCCCGUAUUCGAAAGGUCCGUGGUUCGAACCCCGGCGAGGGCA
rfam:Stegodyphus mimosarum contig90219, whole genome shotgun sequence.